rnacentral:lncRNA from 1 species
ACUCUUCUUAAGUAGUAUCAUCAAAUAAGGACACACUCGCACACAUGCAUAUAUUCAUUUAUUGGUACUACUUGAGAACAGUGGUCCCGGUGCGCGCACUCGCGCUAGCUAGUCAUGACUAGUCGAUCCUUACUUUGCGUUUUUGUGUGUCAUUUACAUUGUUUAAAAACUGAUUUAUUUUGUGUUCUAUUUACUCUGCUAGGUAGUCGUUGUAGGAUCGUCUAGUCACGACUAGCUAGCGCGGAUGCGCGACUACGCCAGUGCACGCACCGAGACCACUGUUCUCAAGUAGUCCCCAUUUAUUUAUUCACUUCAGCUGUUUAAAGUAUGUAUUUCCAGCUUAUCUCUCCACGUGGUACUCUUGUCUCUGAAAUCUUCCUACACUCAUUCAUUUCUCUCCCCUUUAGCAGUUCGCAUGGUAAGUUGAAUAUAAUGUGCUUCAUUUUGAUCAUUAAUUUCGUAAUUUUUAAAAAGUGACAAAGUAUAUCCACCAUUUAGUUUACAUUUUACAUUCCUAUAGCGUAAAACAGUUGUAUUUCCCCGUAUCAUGUUCAGUAAAUUUUCGUUAUUACGUUGUACUUUCAAAACUUAGCACUCAACAAAAAUUUACGCGAUGGCUUCAAUCAACAUGGCAGUCGGCCUUUUAUUUCGAACAAAUGGUCAGCAUUUUCAAUAUAAAAGAAAAAAGAAAAUGUACUUCUUUAAAUAUUGGAAAUUCCUUAAUAUGGUCAGAGUGAUUAGUUCGAUAGCAUUCAAGACUGGAAAUCUGAAGACCAUAAACGAAACGAUACCCAUUUUAGCAAAGGAAUUCAAUUUAUUCUUAUUUCCUACAAUUAAAAAUAUUUGGCUGUUUUCUUCUGGUAAACAGCCGAAUGAAUUAGCUACAACAAGCUUAAGAUACAGAAUAGUGGUUCAAACGAAAUUCUAGUACAUUCUUGUUUUUCUGAGAUUGAUCAUUCGGCAGAGGUAAAGUUCAUGGACCGCAGAUUUUUUUUUUUUUUUUACAGGAACACACUAUAUCGAGGACGAAGAUUGCGAAUCUGCAUUUCAAAAUUUACCCCCCCCCCCACCAAUUUCUUAAAUUUUCACGUUUUAAAAAAAUGUGUGGGAGUGGCAAAUACGGAGACUGAUUCUGAAAAAUUUUUUGUAAAAUUUCAAUUUUCCAAGAAGGAAAAAAAUAAGCACUCCGCCUUAUGACAAAAAGUGAAAUUAGUGUUUUCUCAACUAAUGUUUCACGCAUGCAUAGAAUUAUAAAGUAGACGCAAAAAGUAUCCGAACAGAAAACCUGACAUGCUAGAAACACGUUUUCAAAAUUUUAAUACGAAUUACCCCAAAAAAAAAAUUCUUCAUUUUUCAUUUAUUUUAGAAAUAUUUUUUUUUUUUUUUUGCGAAAUACGUAGAAAAAUAUGGAGAUUAUGAUUCUGAAAAAAAUUGUUUGUAAAAUUUCAAUUUUUCAAAAAAAAAGAAUAAUAAAUAACACCCUUCCCCUCCACCCUACGCACCAACUGGAAAUCUGACAAGUUAGAAACAACAGCCAAACCGAGGAUCAACUUUGUAAAUACGAAUUACCAAACAAGGAAAAAAAAAUUUUUAUGUCAUUUUAUUGUGUGUGUGUGCAAAAAUAAACAUUUUGGAAUGCGGGGUAUUUUUUUCAGAUUCGGAAUCUCCGCUCUCGAUAUAGUGUGUUCCUGUAAAUUACAAGUGCACCAGCACGAAAAAAAUCAACCUUUUUGAAAAUUUUUCAGUGGAUCCCUAUGUUUUUGAUGACGGAAAUUCAGAAUAUGUCAAAAAUCAUGUUUCCAAAUAUUUUGAUUUCAACUUUUGUUUUUCGGGGAGGGGAGAAUUGAAAAUUUUGAAAAUAUGGUUUUUGGCAUAUUCAGAAUCUCCGUCAUCGAAAACAUAGGAAUCCGCUGGAAAAAAAAAAAAAAGCGAUUUUUUUUUCUUUCGUGCCUAUGUACUUGUAGACAUUGACCGAAAAGAGAAAAAAAAACGCAAAGGGGCUGCUGUUCAUGAUCUUUACCUCCACCGAUCAUUUAAAAAUUUUUGGCGCGAAAGUUUUGCUGUUUGUUUUUGUGCCCGGGUCAAACGCUUUAGUUUAACCGGAUGAAGUAGCUCUGAAUACAUUGAAAUGUAUAGACAAUGUUCGCGACUGGAAUUUCUCCUCGCUAACUAUAAUUCUCAGCGUUCCCUUGUAACGGACAUUACUUUUUACAUUAAUUUUAUAAGUACUCAAGCAAAAUAUCAGCCUACAGAAGAUUAGUUAAGGACACUGACCCCCAUAAAUAUUAAUAUUGAUGUGACAAAAGUCUGAAUGUACUUACUGUGCAAUUCAUGUUCGAGCAGUCUUUAUUAGUUGAAUGACUGUGUAUAAUAAUUGCUAAAUUAUAUUAGACAAGGUUUUAUAUACUAAUUAUGUAAUGUCAGGCACUUUGCAUACUAUAUAAGACCUUGCCACAAUCAUACCUGUAUGUGUGAAUUUUAAAAUAUAACAUCUAAUUGUUAUAGUUGGAUAUUAUUUUAUAUUUUAGGUAAUACUGACAGUGUGAGCGAAGUAUCCAGGAUGGGUGGAUAUCCCGUGAAAUGGCAGUUUUCUUGAAAAUAUUCCUAUAUCAGUUUCAAAUGGUGGUUCCCAACCUUUUCACUACCAAAGAUCCUUGUUAUUUAAAUGAGUUUCCCCCCACAGGUUGGCAAAUGGUUUAAAAUAUGUGCAAGAACAACAGUUGUUUUUAAUCAAGUUUUGUUUUCAAUUUCCAAAUCUCAGUUGAAUUAAAUUCACCUCAAAUUCAGAUCUCACGAGAUUAGCUUUGUGCAACUAAUUUUAAAGAUAUAUACACUUGGUGUUUUCAUUAUCUCCCCUCUCUCCUACUGAGGUAACCAUGUAUCUAAAAGACAUUUCUGUCCCUCUGUGCACACUCUUCUUAUCACCUGGUACAAAACCCUGAAUACACCCACCCCCCAUUCAGUUGAAGGGUAAGUUACUUGGUGACCUCAGUGUUGCCACAUAAAAAGCACCCGGGACAUUCUGUAAAGUGGCUGGCAUUAGGAAGGGCAUCCAGCUGUAGAAACGCCAAUCUAAACAGUAGAGCUUGGCAGUAUUCUGGCUUACCAGCUCUUAUCAGAACGUCCAACCCGUGCCAGCAUGGAAAGAGGACGUUAGAUAAAGAUGAAUUACUGAAACCAGUAAAGGAAUGUAAGAUACUAAUAAUUGUUUUCUUUUCCUCUACUAUUACAAAUAUUUCAACCACUACUCUGUUGAAAUAGUUGUCCAUGGAAGAGAAUCAGCUUAACAAUGAUGCUAUAUCUAUACAUGUCGCGAGCAUUGCCAUGCUGAUUUUGUCAAUUUAAUAUCUUUUACUACGCUCUUAUCACUGUGAUAGAUUCCACUUAUUUUCAUUUUUGAUCUGUCUCUCUUUCUGGCCGGGUAACCAUGUACCUCUGCAGCAAGACACCUAUUUCUGUCUCACUAUAUAACCUUUCAUCAGCUGACACAAGAUCACCUCCUCCAAUACUCCUUCCCUUCUCAAAGGAUCUUUAUCUUGCAAGUUACUUGGUGGCCCUGCCAGUGCUGAUGCCACAUAAAAAGCAUUCAGUCCACAGUGUAAAGUGAUUGGCAUUUGGAAAGGCAUCUAGCUGUAUAAAGACCAUGCCAAAACCGAUCUCGCCUGUGCUUUUGCUAAUUAAAAAGCACUCGGUCCAUUCUACUGGGUGGUUGGUGUUAGGAAGAGCAUCCAGCUGUAAAAUCCCGGCCAAAACAGACACAAGCCUGGUGCAGACUCCUGACAAACUGUCCAACCCAUGCUAGCAUGGAAGGUGGAUGUUAAACGAUGUUGAUGCUUUCAUGCUGAGAACAAUGAUGCAUUAAAUGUUUGUUUGCAGUUUCUACCAGAGAUGUAUUCUGUGAUAGUCACCUUUUCUUGGAUGGCUAAAUUCUCUUCAGCAGCAGUUAAUUUUUUUUUAACCACUUUUUGCCUUAUUUCUACACAGUUCCUUUAUAUUUUCAAACUCUCCCUUCACUGCUACUGGAAAAAUAUAUCUAGUGCCAUUAUAGUAUUAAAUUUUACUCAUAUUU